CCUGUUUAUUAAAMMCMUGGCUUUUUGAAUAUAAUUUAAGGUYUGACCUGCCCAAUGAAUAUUUAAAUGGCUGCGGUAAUUUGACCGUGCAAAGGUAGCAUAAUCAUUAGUUUUUUAAUUGAAAGCUGGUAUGAAAGGUUUGAUGAGAGAAUUACUGUCUCUAAUUAAGUUAAUUAGAACUUUAUUUUUAAGUAAAAAAGCUUAAAUAUUUAUGGAAGACGAGAAGACCCUAUAGAGUUUUAUAUUUUUGUAAAUUUAUGAUUUUUAGUAUUGGGAAUUAAGUAUUAAAAAGUAUUUUGUUGGGGUGAUUGAAAAAUUAAAAAAACUUUUUUUGGUAUUGAUACAUGAAUAAGUGAAUUAUUGAUCCUUUAUUUUGAUUAUAAGAAGAAAUUACCUUAGGGAUAACAGCGUAAUUUUUUUUUAGAGAUCUAAUCGAAAAAAAAGGUUGCGACCUCGAUGUUGGAUUAAAAUAAAUAGUUGGUGUAGAGGCUAAUUUAUUAGGUCUGUUCGACCUUUAAAAUUUUACAUGAUCUGAGUUUAAACCGGUGUGAGCCARGUCGGUUUCUAUCU
rnacentral:rRNA from 1 species